rnacentral:rRNA from 1 species
UGGGGAAUUUUGGACAAUGGGCGAAAGCCUGAUCCAGCAAUGCCGCGUGUGUGAAGAAGGCCUUCGGGUUGUAAAGCACUUUUGUCCGGAAAGAAAUCCUUGGCUCUAAUACAGUCGGGGGAUGACGGUACCGGAAGAAUAAGCACCGGCUAACUACGUGCCAGCAGCCGCGGUAAUACGUAGGGUGCAAGCGUUAAUCGGAAUUACUGGGCGUAAAGCGUGCGCAGGCGGUUUGCUAAGACCGAUGUGAAAUCCCCGGGCUCAACCUGGGAACUGCAUUGGUGACUGGCAGGCUAGAGUAUGGCAGAGGGGGGUAGAAUUCCACGUGUAGCAGUGAAAUGCGUAGAGAUGUGGAGGAAUACCGAUGGCGAAGGCAGCCCCCUGGGCCAAUACUGACGCUCAUGCACGAAAGCGUGGGGAGCAAACAGGAUUAGAUACCCUGGUAGUCCACGCCCUAAACGAUGUCAACUGGUUGUUGGGGAUUCAUUUCCUUAGUAACGUAGCUAACGCGUGAAGUUGACCGCCCGGGGAGUACGGUCGCAAGAUUAAAACUUAAAGGAAUUGACGGGGUC